AUUGAACGCUGGCGGCAGGCUUAACACAUGCAAGUCGAGCGGGGUGAUGGUGCUUGCACUAUCACUUAGCGGCGGACGGGUGAGUAAUGCUUAGGAAUCUGCCUAUUAGUGGGGGACAACAUCUCGAAAGGGAUGCUAAUACCGCAUACGUCCUACGGGAGAAAGCAGGGGAUCUUUAUGACCUUGCGCUAAUAGAUGAGCCUAAGUCGGAUUAGCUAGUUGGUGGGGUAAAGGCCUACCAAGGCGACGAUCUGUAGCGGGUCUGAGAGGAUGAUCCGCCACACUGGGACUGAGACACGGCCCAGACUCCUACGGGAGGCAGCAGUGGGGAAUAUUGGACAAUGGGCGGAAGCCUGAUCCAGCCAUGCCGCGUGUGUGAAGAAGGCCUUUUGGUUGUAAAGCACUUUAAGCGAGGAGGAGGCUCUUAAGGUUAAUACCCUUGAUGAGUGGACGUUACUCGCAGAAUAAGCACCGGCUAACUCUGUGCCAGCCGCCGCAGUAA
rnacentral:rRNA from 1 species